UGUUAAGGAUGAAUCUAUCCCGAAACUGAAACUCUAUUUGAUUGACAAUCACUGUCGGAUCUGACUUCUGAAAU